rnacentral:rRNA from 1 species
AUCUGGUUCAGGACGAACGCUGGCGGCGUGCCUAAUACAUGCAAGUCGAACGGUCUUUCUAUGGAAGCUUGCUUCCACUGAGAAGAUAGUGGCGAACGGGUGAGUAACACGUGGGUAACCUGCCCAUAAGAGGGGGGAUAACAUCCGGAAACGGGUGCUAAUACCGCAUAGUUUUCUUGAUCGCAUGAUCGGGAAAGGAAAGACGGCCUUUGUGCUGUCGCUUAUGGAUGGACCCGCGGCGUAUUAGUUAGUUGGUGAGGUAACGGCUCACCAAGACGAUGAUACGUAGCCGACCUGAGAGGGUGAUCGGCCACAUUGGGACUGAGACACGGCCCAAACUCCUACGGGAGGCAGCAGUAGGGAAUCUUCCGCAAUGGACGAAAGUCUGACGGAGCAACGCCGCGUGAGUGAAGUAAAAGGGUUUUCGGAUCGUAAAACUCUGUUGUCAGAGAAGAACAAGUUGGAGAGUAACUGCUCCAGCCUUGACGGUAUCUGACCAGAAAGCCACGGCUAACUACGUGCCAGCAGCGGC